rnacentral:rRNA from 1 species
ACCUGACUGCUAUCGGAUUGAUACUAAGCCAUGCGAGUCAUUGUAGCAAUACAAGGCAGACGGCUCAGUAACGCGUAGUCAACCUAACCUAUGGACGGUAAUAACCUCGGGAAACUGAGAAUAAUGCCCGAUAGAACACUAUACCUGGAAUGGUUUGUGUUCCAAAUGAUUUAUCGCCGUAGGAUGGGACUGCGGCCUUAUCAGUUUGUUGGUGAGGUAAUGGCCCACCAAGACUAUUACAGGUACGGGCUCUGAUAGGAGUAGCCCGGAGAUGGGUACUGAGACACGGACCCAGGCCCUUAUGGGGCGCAGCAGGCGAGAAAACUUUGCAAU